AUUGAACGCUGGCGGCAGGCCUAACACAUGCAAGUCGAGCGGAUGAAGGGAGCUUGCUCCUGGAUUCAGCGGCGGACGGGUGAGUAAUGCCUAGGAAUCUGCCUGGUAGUGGGGGAUAACGUCCGGAAACGGGCGCUAAUACCGCAUACGUCCUGAGGGAGAAAGUGGGGGAUCUUCGGACCUCACGCUAUCAGAUGAGCCUAGGUCGGAUUAGCUAGUUGGUGGGGUAAAGGCCUACCAAGGCGACGAUCCGUAACUGGUCUGAGAGGAUGAUCAGUCACACUGGAACGGAGACACGGUCCAGACUCCUACGGGAGGCAGCAGUGGGGAAUAUUGGACAAUGGGCGAAAGCCUGAUCCAGCCAUGCCGCGUGUGUGAAGAAGGUCUUCGGAUUGUAAAGCACUUUAAGUUGGGAGGAAGGGCAGUAAGUUAAUACCUUGCUGUUUUGACGUUACCAACAGAAUAAGCACCGGCUAACUUCGUGC
rnacentral:rRNA from 1 species